CCGUCAAAAACUGGAAGAGAGAAAGGGAGGGUUAAAGGAAAUACAUGGAGAUGGGUAGAUAGGUAAGAAGAAGAAGAAGAAAAAACUUGUGGUCUCUUCUUGCUUACUCUACCUAUUCCAUCCAUUUCCUUCAAUUUCUCUCUUUCUCAGGCUUUCAGAUCAGAUCCACUAGAGAAAGUGAGUGAAAGGGUGAGAGGGAAAGGGAGAAUGUUGGUGGGAGUCAUGGGUAUGGGAGGACUGGGCAAACUUGCUUUGUUUUUAAUUAGCAAAGAUGAUUUUUCCCAAGACCUCCCAUACCAUUGAUUUCCAGCUAUUUUCUUCUUUUCCCUUAGCUUGUCCUUCUUUAGCUAUGAUUCCAUCAACUCUAGAACAAUGCAAGGAAGCUUGGAAGCAGAUAUAACAACAUGAAGCCUCCUCCGCCACCGCAACAAGGCAAAAUGCGGCACAUGUUCCCACCGGAGAUCGGGAUCGGGCUGCCCCUGGCGCCGCCUCCGCCUUAGAUGAAUGCCUGAAAUGAAUUACUUGUAUUAAGUAAUGAUUAAGUUUAUAAUAAUAUGUCUCUCUAUAUAUAGAUUAGGCAAUUGAUAAACUUACAUGUAAUGUUGACUUUCCAAAUAAAAACAACAUAUGUUUCCAUCA